rnacentral:tRNA from 1 species
AAGAAAAUGACAGAGUGGUUAUGUGGGUGACUUGAAAUCAGUUUAUGGGGGUUCGACUCCUCCUUUUCUCG